rnacentral:lncRNA from 1 species
ACCUUAAGAUACAGGAAAAAAAAUGUUCAUUUUUAUGCUUAGGUUCAAAAAGUAUGAACAGCCAAGUAGAAAGACAAUUGGACAAAAAGGUUAUGAUUUAAUGCUAAAAGACUGUUGGAAUCUGCCUGACCUGUCCAGAUUCCUCUUGGCCUCUCUGUGAAGCAUUCCUUCUUUUUUGGUGUGCGACAUCUAUCUCUGGAAUGUGGGUGUUCUGACAUACCGUCAAAAAAGGAAGAGAAGCUUCAUCAAUGCCUUGAAGACCUUCUGUCUUAGAACCUGUAAGAUGAAGUGAAGCUACAUGGCCCAAAGGGGUAGAUUGUGACAGACACAGAGAAGAGCUUCUCAGAUCCCCGCUCAAGAGAGGACUAUCUGUCCACUUCUGAUGAGUGUGAUCAGCUGACCUUCUAGCUGUUAACUCAUUAAGAGUCACCUUAGAUUCCAAGGUUUCAGACUAGUAUUUGACCUACAAAGACUCCAAGAGUUAUAGGUAAAAUUCUCCAGCAGGAUUACUUUUCAGAUCCUACCACUGUGCUUACAUGAGAAAUAAGAACAAGCAGAACCAGACGAUAAAACAAGAUUCAUCUGUGGAUGAGACAGAGGCCUUAUCCUCAAAGAGUUUGGAGUUGACAUCCCAAUGCCUAGUAGGCUUAUUUGGAUUUUGAAGACAACACAUUCCCCAUUUGGGUGUGUUACUCUGGCCAAUUUAUCAAGUGACCCAAAAGGCUGCAAGUUUUGGGUAGGGUCCAGAACAGGAGAAGGCUCUGCAAUAGGUCCAGGCUGCUGUGCAAGCUACUCUGCCACUUGGGCCAUAUGACCCAGCAAAUCCAAUGGUGCUUGAAGUGUCAGCAGCAGAUAGGGAUGCUGUUUGGAACCUUUGGCAGGCCCCCAUAGGUGAAUCACAGUAGAGGCCUCUAGGAUUUUGGAGCAAGUCCCUGCCAUCUUCUGCAGAUAACUACUCUCCUUUUAAGAGACAGCUCUUGGCCUGUUACUGGGCUUUGGUGGAAACUGAACGUUUGACUAUGGGUCAUCAAGUCAUGAUACAACCUGGAUUGCCUUUCAUGAACUGGGUGCUUUCUGACCGAUCUAGCCAUAAAGUGGGUUGUGCACACCAGCAUUCCAUCAUCAAAUGGAAGUGGUAUACACAUGAUCAGGCUCACAUAGGUUCUGAAGGCACAAGUAAGUUACAUGAGAAAGUAGCUCAAAUGCCCAUCGUCUCCACUCCUGCCACCCUGCCUUCUCUCCCACAGCCUGCACCGAUGGCCUCAUGGGGAGUUUCCUAUGAUUAGGUGGCAGAGAAAGAGAAGACUGGGGCCUGGUUCACAGAUGAUUCUGCACAAUAUGCAGGCACUACUCUAAAGUGGACAGGUGCAGCACUACAGCCCCUAUCAAGGACAUCCCUGAAGGACAGUGGUGGAUGGAAAUCUUCCCAGUGGGCAAAACUUUAAGCAGUUCACCUGGUCGUGCACAUUGAAUGGAAAGAGAAAUGGCCAGAUGUGAGAUUAUAUACUUUUAAUGGGCUGUAUCCAGUGGUUUGUCUGGAUGGUCAGGGACUUGGAAGAAGGAUGAUUGGAAAAUUGGAAACAAAAAAAUUUGGGGAAGAGGUAUGAGAAUGGAUCUCUCUGAGUGGUCAAAAACUGGAGAUAUUUGUAUCUCAUGUGUGUGCUCACCAACAGGUGACUUCAAUAGAUGAGGAUUUUAAUAAUGAAGUGGAUAGGAUACCCAUUCUGUGGAUACCACUCAGCCACCUCUUUCCCCAGCCACCCCUAUCAUCGCCCAAUGGGCCCAUGAACAAUGUGGCCACGGUGGCAGAGAUGGAGGUUACACAUGGGCUCAGCAAUGUGAAUUUCCACUCACCAAGGCUGACCUGGCUACAGCCACUGCUGAGUGCCCAAUUUGCCAGCAGCAGAGACCAACACUGAACCCUCGAUAUGACACCACUCCUCAGGGUGAUCAGCCUGCUACCUGGUGUCAGAUUAAUUAUAUUGGACCACUUCCAUCAUGGAAAGGGAAGAGGUUUUUCCUCACUGGAAUAGACACUUACUCUGGAUAUGGGUUUGCCGAUCCUGAACACAAUGCUUCUAGCAAGACUACCAUCUGUGGACUCACAGAAUGCCUUAUCCACAGUCAUGGUAUUCCACACAGCAUUGCAUCUGACCAAGGCACUCACUUUACAGCUAAAGACGUGCAGCAGUGGGCUCAUGCUCAUGGAAUUCACUGGUCUUACCAUGUUCCCCAUCAUACUGAAGCAGCUGGAUUGAUAGAAUUGUGGAAUGGCCUUUUGAAGUCACAAUUACAAUGCCAACUAAGUGACAAUAUUUGCAGGGCUGUGGCAAAGUUCUCCAGAAGGCCAUGUAUGCUUUGAAUCAGCAUCCAAUGUAUGGUACUGUUUCUCCCAUAGCCAAGAUUCACAGUCCCAGGAAUCAAGGGAUGGAAGUGGAAGUGGCACCACUCACCAUCACCCCUAGUGAUCUGUUAGCAAAAUUUUUGCCUCCUGUUCCCACGACAUUACGUUCUACUGUCCUAGAGGUCUUAGUUCCAGAGGAAGGGACGCUGCCACGAAGAGACACAACAAUGAUUCCAUUAAACUGGAAGUUAAGAUUGUGACCUGGAAACUUUGGGUUCCUCCUACCUUUAAGUCAGUGGGUUGAGAUGGGAGUUACAAUAUUGGCUAGAGUGAUUGACCUGAACUAUCAAGAUGAAAUUAGUCUACUACUCCAGAAUGGAGGUAAGAAAGAGUAUGCAUGGAAUACAGGAAAUCCAUUAUGGCAUCUCUUAGUAUCAUCAUGCCCUGUGAUUAAAGUAAAUGGAAAACUACAAAAGCCUGAUCCAGGCAGGACCACAAAUGGCCCAGACCCUUCAGGAAUGAAGGUCUGGGUCACUCCACCAGGGAAAAAAAAAACAUUACCUACUUAGGUGUUUACUGAAGGCAAAGGGAAUAUAGAAUGGGUAGUAGAAGAAGGUAGUCAUCAAUACCAGCUACACCCAUGUGACUAGCUGCAGAAAUAACGACUGUAUUUGUCAUGAGUAUGUCUUUCUUCUUUUAUUAAAAACCUGUUUGUGCAUGUAUACACUUGUACUAAGAAAAUAUCUUUAAUUUCCUUUUCCUUUAUUAUGUGACAUAAAAUUUAUUGACUUUAUAUCAGCUUUUAAGUAUUGUUAUUUUUAUGUAAUAGUAUUUCGGUUGGGAAUUGGUGUGCUUCUGGUUGCACAAAAGGUGGUUGUACUAUGUUUGGUGUAAUUAUGACCUUAUUAUUGUCUUUAUUUGAAGAUUAUGUAUGAUCUCAGGAGAUGUGCGUGGGUUCAAAUUGACAAAGAAUGGACUUGUGAUGGUUAAUACUGAGUGCCAACUUGAUUGGAUUAAAGUAUGCAAAGUAUCUUAGGUGUGUCUGUGAGGGUGUUGCCAAAGGAGAUUAACAUUUGAGUCAGUGGACUGGGAAAGGCAGACUCACCCUUAAUCUGGGAGGGCACCAUCUAAUCAGCUUCUAGCACAGCUAGAAUAUAAAGCAGGCAGAAAAAAAUUGUGAAAAGACUAGACUGGCCUAACCUCCCAGCCUACAUCUUUCUCCUGUGAUGGACCCUUACUGCCCUCGAACAUUGGACUCCACUUUCUUCAGUUUUGGGAUGCAGACUGGCUUUCCUUUUUCCUCAGCUUGUAGAUGGCCUAUUGUGGGACCUUGUGAUUGUGUGAGUUAAUAUACACACUAUUAGUUCUGUCCCUCUAGAGAACCCUGAGUUAUACGCAGGUAAACAUAGGAUAGUUGAAGCUCACCUCUCCAUUAUUCUAAUAUCUGUGAAAAUAUUUAUCAUCUAGGAAUAUUUUUAUAUUUUUAAUAUAACCAGCUUCAAUACUAGGGCUACUCAAAAUGACAGCAGAUAAUAAAAUAAGGAUUUUGUGCCAGA